rnacentral:rRNA from 1 species
GAAAGCCUUGGCGGUGCGGGAUGGGCCCGCGUCUGAUUAGCUUGUUGGCGGGGCAACGGCCCACCAAGGCGACGAUCAGUAGCCGGCCUGAGAGGGUGGGCGGCCACAUUGGGACUGAGACACGGCCCAAACUCCUACGGGAGGCAGCAGUGGGGGAUAUUGCACAAUGGGGGGAACCCUGAUGCAGCGACGCCGCGUGGGCGAUGGAGCGCCUCGGCGCGUAAAGCCCUAUCAGCAGGGAAGAAAAUGACGGUACCUGACUAAGAAGCCCCGGCUAAAUACGUGCCAGCAGCCGCGGUAAUACGUAUGGGGCAAGCGUUAUCCGGAUUUACUGGGUGUAAAGGGAGCGCAGGCGGCCUGGCAAGCCUGAUGUGAAAUACCGGGGCCCAACCCCGGGGCUGCAUUGGGAACUGCCAGGCUGGAGUGCCGGAGAGGCAGGCGGAAUUCCUAGUGUAGCGGUGAAAUGCGUAGAUAUUAGGAGGAACACCAGUGGCGAAGGCGGCCUGCUGGACGGUGACUGACGCUGAGGCUCGAAAGCGCGGGGAGCAAACAGGAUUAGAUACCCUGGUAGUCCACGCCGUAAACGAUGAAUACCAGGUGUCGGGGCGCAAGGCGCCCCG